UACGUAGGGUGCGAGCGUUAAUCGGAAUUACUGGGCGUAAAGCGUGCGCAGGCGGUUCGUUGUGUCGGCGGUGAAAGCCCCGGGCUCAACCUGGGAAUGGCCGUUGAAACUGGCGAACUGGAGUGUGGCAGAGGAGACUGGAAUUCCUGGUGUAGCAGUGAAAUGCGUAGAUAUCAGGAGGAACACCGAUGGCGAAGGCAGGUCUCUGGGCUGACACUGACGCUCAUGCACGAAAGCGUGGGGAGCAAACAGG
rnacentral:rRNA from 1 species